AACGAACGCUGGCGGCAGGCUUAACACAUGCAAGUCGAACGCCCCGCAAGGGGAGUGGCAGACGGGUGAGUAACACGUGGGAACGUACCCUUUACUACGGAAUAACGCAGGGAAACUUGUGCUAAUACCGUAUGUGCCCUUUGGGGGAAAGAUUUAUCGGUAAAGGAUCGGCCCGCGUUGGAUUAGCUAGUUGGUGGGGUAAAGGCCUACCAAGGCGACGAUCCAUAGCUGGUCUGAGAGGAUGAUCAGCCACAUUGGGACUGAGACACGGCCCAAACUCCUACGGGAGGCAGCAGUGGGGAAUAUUGGACAAUGGGCGCAAGCCUGAUCCAGCCAUGCCGCGUGAGUGAUGAAGGCCUUAGGGUUGUAAAGCUCUUUCACCGGAGAAGAUAAUGACGGUAUCCGGAGAAGAAGCCCCGGCUAACUUCGUGCCAGCCGCCGCAGUAACAC
rnacentral:rRNA from 1 species